rnacentral:lncRNA from 1 species
CCGCGCCCGGUGCGCGCGCUCGCCUCCCCGCCUCGGCCGAGGCAGCCCCUGGACCUCGGGCUGAGUCACAGUCUCCCGCGCCAGCUCCAUCUCCGCCCUCUCGGGGCUUCGGGCCGCCCACCGCCGACGCCGAGCGGGGGAUGGCGGGUAGCAAGUGUGGGCUCAGGGAUCGGGGCCUCGGGACCUACCCACCACCCGCCUGGGCGCGCGACUCCAGGGCCACCGCCUAGGCGCGCGACCCCCGCGCCCCGGGGCGGCGCGGAGCCUCUGCUCCUUAUUGGAGUUUCUCGGGUUUCAGGUUAACCCCUAGAGGCACAGAUUUCAAAAAACAGGAUUUGUGUGCUUCAGGACCGAAGCACCACUCUAAAGGCUUUCUUUCGGUGAUGCUUGUUUCUUGGCGCGUUUGUAAGCCACCCGGGACCAGGAACGCGCUCCCCGUGUCUCCGCCUGAGUUUCCAGCUCAGCAGCACAGUCGUGAACGUUAGGCAGCUCCUCUCCGAGCCAGUCCCCUUCCACCUCCGCAACCUCCCUGCCCAGGCCAGGCGGGCUGCGGGGCGCUCGGGAGGGCGGCCCCCCGGAGGCACAAGGACGGCUCAAGGAGCUGUCCACGUGUGCCCGGGACCAGCCGGACCCCUGCAGUCCUUGCUCAUGUCGUUCCUGGCUUCCAGCUAGGUCGGCCCCAGCCUUGGAGGAGACAUUUUGUUUUUAUUCUGUCUCUGGAAAGAGAGCUGGGGAUCUGGCGUCCUUUUGCCCUGCGGAUGCAUGGGGUCCCCAUUUCAGGGCCAGCUCGGCCUGCGGGGCCUAACCGGGACACGCGCAGGUACCCGGUGCGGCCCGUUGCCCAUAGAAGGAUCGCUCACGGCCACUACCCGCACCGCAUUCCUGCCCGGCAGUCCGGCCAAUGGCGAUCGCGCACGGGCUUUGUGACACAGUCCCUGCAGCCCGGAAGUGGGACGUUCGCAGGAAGAGCGCCACGGCCCUCAGGAUCACUCCUCCACCUUGCACAAGUCCAGGGUCUCCGUGACUAAUGUUUCUGUAGCUGCGAAUCGAGUAUAGGUUUUUUUUUCGCCUUCCUGUUUUUUGUUCUUUUUUUUUGUUUUGUUUUUUUUUGUUUUUUUUUCUUCCAGACAAGGAUCUCUUUUGCCCAGGCUGGUCUCCAAUUCCUGGGCUCAAGCGAUCCUCUUGCCUCAGCGUCCGGAGUACCUUGGCUUUUGUUUUUGCAUUCCUGACAUCAGGGGAGUUAUUUGAACAUUUUGUCAACCUGAUUAUGCAGCCUUGAAGAAUAACGAUAAUACUGACAAGAAUAAAGAUGGAGUUAUUUAUUGGAAAGAUGUGCAUAGCCAGGCGUGGUGGCGCACGCCUGUAAUCCCAGCACUCGGGAGGCUGAGGCAGGAGGAUCCUUGCAAGUCCGAGACCAGCCUGGGCUACAAAGUGAGCUAAUGGCCAGCCUGAAGUGCAUAGUGAGACCCUGUCUCAAAAAGACAAAAAGAAAAAAAAAGAAGUUCAUUUGUUAUGUGAUCCUAUGCCUGGAAAAAAAGGUUGUGAAAUUAAAAUUUUCUCAAGGUGCGUGGUAUUUUGUUGUUUUGUUUGUUUUGUUUUUGUUUUUCUGGUAAUGGGCAUUGAACUCAGAGAUUCUAUACCACUGAGCUAUAUUCCAGCCCUUUAAAAAAAUGUGUGGGCUGGGGAUUUAGUUCAGUGGCACAGCAGCUGCCUGGCAAGUGCAAGGUUGUGGGUUCAAUUCCCGGUACUGGGGGGAAAAAAAUUAUUUAUGCUCGGUGUGGUGGCGCAUGCCUGUUAUCCCAGCACUCGGGAGGCUGAGGCAGGAAGAUCGUGGCAAGUUUGAGGCCAGCCUGGGCUACAAAAUGAGCCCAAGGCCAGCCUGCACUGCAUAGCGAGAACCUGUCUCAAAAAGACAAAAAAUUUUUUGUUUAUUAUUAUUGUUGUUGAGACAGGUUCUCUCUGUGUAGUUCAAACUGGCCUUGAGUUUGUGACAAUCCUCCUGGCUUAACCCCCUAAGUGCUGGGAUUGCAAGACAGCAAUACUAUGCCCACCCAGACUCCUUUUUAUUUUGCUUUUUUGAGACAGGGUUUCACUUUGC